GUAAGGAAUAUUGGUCAAUGGACGCAAGUCUGAACCAGCCAUGCCGCGUGGAGGAUGAAGGUCCUCUGGAUUGUAAACUUCUUUUCUCUGGGACGAAACCCCCGAUUUCUAUCGGGCCUGACGGUACCAGAGGAAUAAGCACCGGCUAACUCCGUGCCAGCAGCCGCGGUAAUACGGAGGGUGCAAGCGUUAUCCGGAUUUACUGGGUUUAAAGGGAGCGUAGGCGGGCAGUUAAGUCAGUGGUGAAAUCUCUGGGCUUAACCCGGAAACUGCCAUUGAUACUAUCUGUCUUGAAUAUUCUGGAGGUAAGCGGAAUAUGUCAUGUAGCGGUGAAAUGCUUAGAUAUGACAUAGAACACCCAUUGCGAAGGCAGCUUACUACGGGAUUAUUGACGCUGAGGCUCGAAAGCGUGGGGAUCAAACAGGAUUAGAAACCCCGGUAGUCC
rnacentral:rRNA from 1 species